UUUAUGCAGAGGGAGCAUGUGGGCUGGGAACUGUAGAGAGCAAAACCCGAAAGGCAAGUUAGUGAACAGGAAAGAAAGAAAGCAGACUGUGAGCUUAGUGUCUCUUUGGAAAACAUGACCAUAGCUUCUAGAACUUUCUGAACAAAACGUCUGGCACAGACUGCCUUCUUCUUCCACCAGUGGUAUUCAGCAACUGUGGUUUUUAACCUAAGUAAAAGUUAAACCUAGAUUGAAAUUAGGAACUGCGCUGAAGAUUGCUAGGUGACGGAGGCCAGGAAGGUUGCUAUGGACACGGGACAGGAUACUGGGCAGGGCUGCCUGCGUGGAGUUGGGUUUAUCAGAUGCUUCUAGAAACCUUUGGACCAUCCACAUUCUCAAAAGAAAAGAAAAAAAAAAGGUAGGCAAGUUUAUGGACUUAGCCACUGGGGAAAGGGGAGGAAAGACAAAAUACAAACCGAAAGUCAGAAACUCCAAGAGCGUUACCCUAAAGGAAGAACAGAAACAUCAGGCAGUUUUCCUGAGCAAGGAGCAGCUGCCUCUCCUCUCCCCUUCCACUCCCUUCUGUCAUGAAAGGAUGAAUUCAGAGCUUGGCUUUGAGAAGUUCAGGGCGGGUUCUGACAUUGCAUGAUGGAUGAUGGGAAGUUCUAACCACAGCUAAAGCCUAGACCUAAGCCAGGCUUGUUGAUGUUCUCUGCUCUCCUAGUAACUCAUGGCAACCAAGAAGGAAGUGACUUGGUAUGAUGAAUAAUCUCUCCUUGCAGAACAGCUCACUGCUUGUCUGUGCUCGUGAGCAUUCUAGGAAUGUCCUCAACCAUGGACCUAUCCUGACUACCAGCCUAUCUUCUACUCUCACGGAAGAAUGUGGAAUAUACUUUGUUACGUGGUUUUCCAUCUCUCGCUUGGAUGUCUUGAUUUCAUCUCCAGCAAUAGUAUACCCCAUUAAUCCCUCAAGACCAAUCUGACCGACCCCCUGGGAUAUUCCCAAGUGAUCUUCCACUGUGGAUAGCAGGUCCUGAACACUCGAAACUCCACUUCAUCUGAAGAAUUAAUUGGAACGGACCUGGAGAUUCAGAAUUACCAUGGAAGCAUACCUCUGAAUGUCUCUAUGAAGAUAUUUCCAGAAAGGUUUGCCUGCGGAGGGAAGCCUACCUUGCAGGUGAGUACAGCAUCCUAUGGACUGAGAUCUCUGACUGGAUACGAAGGAGAAAUUGAGCUGAGCACUGAUCUCUCUUUGCUCACUGAUCAUGAGCACAUGGUGACCAGCUUGCUCAUUCCUGCUGUCAUGACUUCCUGCCC